rnacentral:rRNA from 1 species
GACGAACGCUGGCGGCGUGCCUAAUACAUGCAAGUCGGGCGAACAGAAAAGGAGCUUGCUCCUGACGUUAGCGGCGGACGGGUGAGUAACACGUGGGCAACCUACCCUAUAGUUUGGGAUAACUCCGGGAAACCGGGGCUAAUACCGAAUAAUCUCUUUGCUUCAUGGCAAAAGACUGAAAGACGGUUUCGGCUGUCGCUAUAGGAUGGGCCCGCGGCGCAUUAGCUAGUUGGUGAGGUAACGGCUCACCAAGGCGACGAUGCGUAGCCGACCUGAGAGGGUGAUCGGCCACACUGGGACUGAGACACGGCCCAGACUCCUACGGGAGGCAGCAGUAGGGAAUCUUCCACAAUGGCGUAAGCCUGAUGGAGCAACGCCGCGUGAGUGAAGAAGGUUUUCGGAUCGUAAAACUCUGUUGUAAGGGAAGAACAAGUACAGUAGUAACUGGCUGUACCUUGACGGUACCUUAUUAGAAAGCCACGGCUAA